GCCGGGACUGCGGGCGGCGCGCACGGAUUCAGGAGUUCCCCCAAGGCUGGUCCCCGAGGGCGGGCAGCCGGGACUUGAGCUCCCGUGCUCGCCCGGCGGUCAUGACCGGCAGAGUCCCCUCGUCAUCGCAGCCCGUCCGGUAGAGGACGUUCUCCCCGGGCUGCAUAUCACCCGCUAGCUACCACCGCGUUCUUCUGCUUCGCUCUGCAGCCGAACUCCUCCAAAGGGGGAACCGCUCGCCUCAGACUGUCCUCCCUACCUCCUAGUUGCCACAUCCAGUGAGGGGUCCAGAGUGUGUAAACUACUGUUCUCAACUUCUCACGCCAGCUGGCUUCCAGUGAAGUUCUACCAGUAGGAGGCACUAGCAGGAAAUCAGAAGGCAGGAGGAGGAAGAGGUGGUGGAUGGAUGGAUGCAGAGACCUCAUGAAUGGGAUUAGUGUUCUUAUAAAAGAGGCCGCAGAGGGAUCCUUUGUCCCUUCCACCAUGUGAGGAUACAGUGAGAAGGUGCUGGCUCUGAACCAGGAAGAAGGCCCUCAACAAUGCAACCAUGCUUGCCCAUUGAGUUUGGACUUUCAGCCUCCAGAACUGUGAGCAAUAAAUUUCUAUUGU